CACGUAGGGCGCGAGCGUUGUCCGGAAUUAUUGGGCGUAAAGAGCUCGUAGGCGGCUUGUUGCGUCGUCCGUGAAAACUUGUGGCUUAACCACAGGCUGGCGGUCGAUACGGGCAGGCUGGAGUUCGGUAGGGGAGACUGGAAUUCCUGGUGUAGCGGUGAAAUGCGCAGAUAUCAGGAGGAACACCGGUGGCGAAGGCGGGUCUCUGGGCCGAUACUGACGCUGAGGAGCGAAAGCGUGGGGAGCGAACAGG
rnacentral:rRNA from 1 species